rnacentral:lncRNA from 1 species
UGUGGGCUCAGCCCUUUCCCAGCCCUAGGCCUGGUCCCAGACACCCGUGAAAGCUGCCCGGGUGGAGUCUUGGCCAAGUCUGGCUGCUCCAGGCUUCCUUGAGCUUUCGCAGGCUCCUUUUAACAAGGCUCCUGAAACGGCUUCUUUCUUGGGGGCAAAUGGACUGGAGGUUCCCAACUGCCAGCCAGGGGACUGGACAGACCUCUCUUGCUCUCACAGCCGGUACCAGGACUGUACGCUUUUAUGAUUGUAAAUAGCCUGUGUAAGAUUUUUGAGCUCUCCGGUGUCAAGGACAUGCUGAAUCUUGAUGCAGUCCUUCCCACUACUGAUUACUCCAGAUGGAAAAACCUGCCUCUGACUUCCCUCUGCUUGGUAGGUCCUUAUCUACACUCCUUCUCUUUACCCUGCCCUCCUUUACCAAGGAGCAAAUUCAAAGUCCAGUCUUCAAGGCCAAACUCAUACAUGAUUAUUUCUUGGUAGGUCCUUAAUCCCCUUGGACAGAAGUAAUUUUCCCUUCUCUGUGUUCCCAUGGCACUUUUCAGGCAGCCAUUGUACCGACUUCAGCAACAUACUUUGUUUAUGUGUCAGCCUUCCCCAGUGGACAGAGGUGGGUGGGUGGGGGGAGUUUCACAGGAGGGGAGUGUUUUCAUUUUCACAUCCUUGAUGCCUGGCACAAAGCAGGGACUCAAUGAAGGGUGGUGUGUCAGGUUGUCUUUGUCGAUCACUCCUGACUUCUCAACCUCCCAUGGACGCAAGUAGGUUUGUUACUGUCUGUCUUUAGAAGUGACCCUCAGAAUGAAAAAAAAAAAAAAAAAAAAAAUUCCAGAUUUUAGCCCAUCAGGGUGCAGAGUGCCCAUCUGCUAUGGAAACCAGGUUUUCCUUAGCUUUCACUUUCUAAUCUAAAAUGUAAGCCUUUAUUUUUAUCCCUGAUAAAUGCAAUCUUGUUUCCUGCAGGAAAAGAUAACUUCCUCUUGCCAGACCAAAAAGAAAAAUCUGUUUUAAUACUGUCAUCUGUCACAUCCCCUCUGUCAACCAGUUUGAGGUCAUCUGUGUAUGGGAGGAUAAUGCAAAAUAUGUGCAUUGGCCUUUUUAGUAUAACUGUGUAUUUACUGCCAAAGGAAAAAAUAUCCAGCAUGUCUAUUUAUUUAUUGAGAAAUUUGUAUUGUUCUUCUAAUUCAAAAAUCUAUAAGACCACAUUCCUCUCUCCUUCUACCUCUGUCAAAGCUUUAGCUAGCUUUGGAAAAAUAUGUCAUCAUUUAAUACCUAUGUCCUCUACUUGAUGUCUCCCUGACCCCUAAAGUCCCUUUUAUGUAUCCUGACUGUGCUCUCCUAUUAAUUCUGUACAUUCAUUAUCAAAAAGCUUGUCACAUCUCAAGUCUUAGUUUGUAUCAUGGUCUCUCUCUUACCAGUCUAUGGUCUCAAUAUCUAGGCUUUACUCAACAUAUCAAUAACUUAGCACAUUGCCUGGAUAAAAUAUUGU